rnacentral:rRNA from 1 species
GACGAACGCUGGCGGCGUGCUUAACACAUGCAAGUCGAACGGAAAGGCUCUGCUUUUGUGGGGUGCUCGAGUGGCGAACGGGUGAGUAUCACGCGAGUAUCCUGCCCUUGACUUCGGGAUAACUUCAGGAAACUGGGGCUAUAACCGGCUAGGAGCUCCUGCUGCAUGGUGGGGGCUGGAAAGUUUCGGCGGUUGGGGAUGGACUCGCGGCUUAUCAGCUUGUAGGGGGGGUAGUGGCUUCCCAAGGCUUUGACGGAUAGCCGGCCUGAGAGGGGGGACGGCCCCAAGGAGACUCAGAUACGGCCCAGGCGAGUACAGUAGGAAGCGGUGGAGACUCUUACCGAACAAACGAGGGCCAGAUGUUAGGGCCCGGCGUGCGAGAAAUCGGACUACGAGUUGAAAACAGCUUUCUCCUGUAGUGGAGAGUUGUUGACGGUAAAGGGUAAAGAAGCAACGGCUAACUACGUG